AUGCUGGAAGCCGUGUUUUGCAGCGGAAAAAGGUUUCGCGAUGGAGUCUCAGAAGAUGGCGGAGGAACGCGGUUGUUGAGGGCGGAACAGCGUGGCUUUGGGUUUGGCACGGUGAAGAUAAGAAGGCGCUGCCCUGACUGGUUGAAGGCAACCACGGACGGUGUAGUUCGUGCACCUUCAGAAUUCUCAAUAACUUUUGGAUUUUUCCUUCCAUAA